UACGUAGGGGGCUAGCGUUGUCCGGAUUUAUUGGGCGUAAAGAGCGUGUAGGCGGCCAGGUAGGUCUGCUGUGAAAACUCGAGGCUCAACCUCGAGACGCCGGUGGAAACUGCAAAGCUAGAGUCCGGAAGAGGAGAGUGGAAUUCCUGGUGUAGCGGUGAAAUGCGCAGAUAUCAGGAAGAACACCCGUGGCGAAGGCGGCUCUCUGGGACGGUACUGACGCUGAGACGCGAAAGCGUGGGGAGCGAACAGG
rnacentral:rRNA from 1 species